rnacentral:rRNA from 1 species
AGUGAACGCUGGCGGUAGGCCUAACACAUGCAAGUCGAACGGCAGCACAGUAAGAGCUUGCUCUUACGGGUGGCGAGUGGCAGACGGGUGAGGAAUACAUCGGAAUCUACUUUUUCGUGGGGGAUAACGUAGGGAAACUUACGCUAAUACCGCAUACGACCUACGGGUGAAAGCAGGGGAUCUUCGGACCUUGCGCGAUUGAAUGAGCCGAUGUCGGAUUAGCUAGUUGGCGGGGUAAAGGCCCACCAAGGCGACGAUCCGUAGCUGGUCUGAGAGGAUGAUCAGCCACACUGGAACUGAGACACGGUCCAGACUCCUACGGGAGGCAGCAGUGGGGAAUAUUGGACAAUGGGCGCAAGCCUGAUCCAGCCAUACCGCGUGGGUGAAGAAGGCCCUCGGGUUGUAAAGCCCUUUUGUUGGGAAAGAAAAGCAGCAGGUUAAUACCCCGCUGUUCUGACGGUACCCAAAGAAUAAGCACCGGCUAACUUCGUG